rnacentral:misc_RNA from 1 species
CAACAAUAUGAAAUAUGAUGAAAUCAACACAAAUCAAAUUAAUACAUACCUCUACAGCUCCAGACAUAUCAUACAAACAUCAAGCAAUAUCAAAAUCACUUAUUGCUACGAACAAACAUUUUAUAAAAAGGAAAACUAACCUAAAACUCGGCAAGCAAAUCAACAAAUAGAAACUACCACCACGCACCACCUCUUAUAGAAUGACGUAUUAAAACUUGUCCUUGAACUCACAAUAACUUUGGGGAACAUAAGAAAUAGAGCAUACAACACGUGCAAAGACUCGGCAAGCACCUCGUACGCUUCACCGACAUCAGCAGGGCGAUCACCGGACACACAAAAUGCAACCUCAGCAAGGCCAAGCAGCCACGCGACAGGCACAUUCCACUGGUAUCAGUAACGAAGGCCAUGGAAAGAACGCAGACGCAGCAUCAGCAAAAUACGACCACCUGUAACAUGUACAUUCUUUCAAGCACCUUGUAUGUCAUUAACACCAAGCAAAGGGUGAGAUAAUCAAGAAGACAAGAACCCCAGCGGAAAUAGGUAGUUACGAUAUUCAUAAAUUGUCACGUAGUAAUGGUACAAUUACAAAAGAAAUAAUCGGUCACGUGACAAUUAGGAAGAAUAUAGAUAGAGAUUCAGUACUCAAUAGAGAGUUGUUGGAGUGCAGUUU